GCGCUUUUCCUGUUAAGCAUUCGCGCCUAUAUUAGAUCUGUUCUUCGGAACUAUAACGAUAAACCCUUGUGUAAUAAACGGCUCGGACCCGGGGGCGGUACCCGGCGGCUCCACCAUAUUAACCAGCUCAUUUGGCUGUUGGAUUUGGGGCCGAAAUAGGAUCGACGGACGUGUAAAGACUUGUAUUUCGUUCGAAUGGGCCCCGUUAGAAGCCCAAUCGCAAAUAGUUGCAAAUGACAACUUUGCUGAAGGUGAGCUUCUCGCAGCGUAAGCUGUGCGAACAAACCGCAUAAACUCCUAGGGACUUUUAGCACUCUAGGCGGGGUUCGGAAGCACCUGGCAACAGAAGCUUCCACU
rfam:Hirschia baltica ATCC 49814, complete genome.